AACGUUGGACAUAGCGUGUGGGUAGCAACCCGCUGAAUUAAAGCAUUUAAAUAAGCGGAGGAAAAGAAACUAACCAGG
rnacentral:rRNA from 1 species